UACAGAGGGGGCAAGCGUUGUUCGGAAUUACUGGGCGUAAAGGGCUCGUAGGCGGCCAACUAAGUCGGACGUGAAAUCCCCAGGCUCAACCUGGGAACUGCGUCCGAUACUGGAUGGCUUGAAUCCGGGAGAGGGAUGCAGAAUUCCAGGUGUAGCGGUGAAAUGCGUAGAUAUCUGGAGGAACACCGGUGGCGAAGGCGGCAUCCUGGACCAAUAUUGACGCUGAGGAGCGAAAGCCAGGGGAGCAAACGGG
rnacentral:rRNA from 1 species